UGGGGAAUAUUGGGCAAUGGGGGAAACCCUGACCCAGCAACGCCGCGUGAAGGAAGAAGGUUUUCGGAUCGUAAACUUCUAUCCUUGGUGAAGAUAAUGACGGUAGCCAAGAAGGAAGCCCCGGCUAACUACGUGCCAGCAGCCGCGGUAAUACGUAGGGGGCAAGCGUUGUCCGGAAUGAUUGGGCGUAAAGGGCGCGUAGGCGGCUAUUUAAGUCUGAAGUGAAAGUCCUGCUUUUAAGGUGGGAACUGCUUUGGAUACUGGAUAGCUUGAGUGCAGGAGAGGUAAGCGGAAUUCCCGGUGUAGCGGUGAAAUGCGUAGAGAUCGGGAGGAACACCAGUGGCGAAGGCGGCUUACUGGACUGUAACUGACGCUGAGGCGCGAAAGUGUGGGGAGCAAACAGG
rnacentral:rRNA from 2 species